UACGGAAGGCAGCAGGGGGAAUAUUGCACAAUGGGCGCAAGCCUGAUGCAGCCAUGCCGCGUGUAUGAAGAAGGCCUUCGGGUUGUAAAGUACUUUCAGUCGUGAGGAAGGUGUUAAGGUUAAUAACCUUAGCAAUUGACGUUAGCGACAGAAGAAGCACCGGCUAACUCCGUGCCAGCAGCCGCGGUAAUACGGAGGGUGCGAGCGUUAAUCGGAAUUACUGGGCGUAAAGGGCACGCAGGCGGUUAAUUAAGUUGGAUGUGAAAUCCCCGGGCUUAACCUGGGAAUGGCAUUCAAGACUGGUUAGCUAGAGUCUUGUAGAGGGGGUAGAAUUCCAUGUGUAGCGGUGAAAUGCGUAGAGAUGUGGAGGAAUACCGGUGGCGAAGGCGGCCCCUGGGACAAAGACUGACGCUCAUGUGCGAAAGCGUGGGGAGC
rnacentral:rRNA from 1 species